GGAAGCGUGGUAACAUGUGGAGCUGACUGAUACUAAUCGUUCGAGGACUUAACCAAUUU
rnacentral:rRNA from 1 species